GCAGUGGUGAUUUGGCAGUAGAAUCCUUGCCUUCCAUUCAGGAGACCUGGGUUCGAUUCCCGGCCAAGGCA
rnacentral:tRNA from 1 species